ACCUUCGGGCCUCUUGCCAUCGGAUGUGCCCAGAUGGGAUUAGCUAGUAGGUGGGGUAACGGCUCACCUAGGCGACGAUCCCUAGCUGGUCUGAGAGGAUGACCAGCCACACUGGAACUGAGACACGGUCCAGACUCCUACGGGAGGCAGCAGUGGGGAAUAUUGCACAAUGGGCGCAAGCCUGAUGCAGCCAUGCCGCGUGUAUGAAGAAGGCCUUCGGGUUGUAAAGUACUUUCAGCGGGGAGGAAGGGAGUAAAGUUAAUACCUUUGCUCAUUGACGUUACCCGCAGAAGAAGCACCGGCUAACUCCGUGCCAGCAGCCGCGGUAAUACGGAGGGUGCAAGCGUUAAUCGGAAUUACUGGGCGUAAAGCGCACGCAGGCGGUUUGUUAAGUCAGAUGUGAAAUCCCCGGGCUCAACCUGGGAACUGCAUCUGAUACUGGCAAG
rnacentral:rRNA from 1 species